rnacentral:rRNA from 1 species
UACGUAGGGUGCGAGCGUUGUCCGGAAUUAUUGGGCGUAAAGAGCUCGUAGGCGGUGUGUCGCGUCGGCCGUGAAAACCUGGGGCUCAACUCUGGGCGUGCGGUCGAUACGGGCAUCACUUGAGUUCGGCAGGGGAGACUGGAAUUCCUGGUGUAGCGGUGAAAUGCGCAGAUAUCAGGAGGAACACCAAUAGCGAAGGCAGCUCGCUGGGACGGUACUGACGCUAAGGCGCGAAAGCGUGGGGAGCGAACAGG